CCAUCGGCAUCGUGUGGUCGAAGCGAACACGCGAUGACGCGAUGCUUAUGGGCCGUGCAGCCAAUGCUCAAUAGAAGUAUAUCAAGUGGACUUCUGGAACACCAUAGCACUAUUUCCAAUGGAUUUCCGUUGAGUUUGGAUGCCGGUGUGACUGUGUCUUCUUCCCGACCCAAGCUACUGAGUCGAAAAGUCGUUUACGAGGCUCCAGUUGAUCUCUGGUGAGGAGGACUGAGGAGAAAUGGCCACGUUUUACCCCUACUUUAGUCCGUGCCCCAUCGGGGACUGCGCGCAAUAUUUGGACCAGCUUAUGAACUGGGAUGUGAAGAAAUGCGGAGGCACGGCGUUUCUCAGCGACCGCGGCACGUUUGCCUGCGGGCACAUGGUGAGGGACUCCCAGUGCAGGUACUGCUGUGGCCAGGGCACCACCGAGUUCCCGUUCGUCGAGGCCUCGUUUGCAUGCAAGAAUCACCGCUCCUUGUACAAGCAGUGUCACGACUAUGGGGACUUUAUGGCCGCUAUGAACACCCUGGUCGAGUUCAUCGACCUCGCAAAGCCAGCAGGUGUAGAAAGUCAGACAUUCCGGCGCUGGCUGCAGCGCACCACCAGAGCAGUUGUAAACCAGUAUUCAGGAAGCUGUAGCACUCCAACACGCACCCUACUAGAGCACCAUGCACCCUAGCAGCACUGCCGGGGUACAGAACUCGGAUGACCGUCCACUUUCGCGCUCCCAGUAUGCUGUUGAUACUAAUACAUAUUAAACAUGUACAUGUAUUAUGCCGCGUUGUCAGUUAUACUACUCAGACCCUGGUCUACACUGUAGUGUGAGCGAGGCAUCGUCCUUGCUACUCCUGCUCUCAGCCUGCCAAGCAAUACACCUUCAUUGUGACCAGAUUAUUUUACAUUUAAAGCUAGGAGCACACGUCCUACCUCUUACUGAGUCUUAGUCUUAGGCAUCAGGUCACUUCGCUGCUGCUGCCCAGCAUUGCUUGCUGCCUUGUGAAUUUUUUAGCAUUCGCCUUCUACAUGUACAUGUAUGUGAAUACUGUAAUGUAUAAGCAUUGAAUGAUGACAUGCCAUCACAACA